rnacentral:lncRNA from 1 species
CUCCAUCUUAGACACCGUCCGAUUGAUGAGAUCUGUACGAUUCCUAACGGGUACGGGCAAAGCAAACUUCCACCCGCUACGUUCUGAUUUUUAGACGUCAACUACCUUCCUAUUUUGUGGGUGCUAUCCCAUCCUGGCUUUCUCUAUCCCCUAAGCGAUCUAUCCAUCUGUCUCUCCUUGUUUCACGGAAUCAAAGGCUUCCUGAGACGAAUCUGAAUCAAUCUGGAGCAAUAGUUCAUUGGGAAAUGAGGUAUGUACCAUGCAUGCUUUUGUGAUUUCUAUGCAUGCAUCAUUUAAACUAUUGUUUCUUGUUCCUAAUUCUAUAGGUAGUGCUAAUUUAGUAAUCGGUACGUUCUGUAGGGUGAUCGUUGAUGGAUUGUUGGCUCUGCACAAUGGAUCAUUGCUGCUAUUGCACGGCGGCGGCGGCGACGGCCUGUACGGGUGCAUAUGUCCAACCGCUUGACUGCUCCAGCCCGGCAUGGCAACAACGACGUGUGAGGCUUGUCAUAGUGGGGAAUAUCAUAUAUUAGUAUCAUGCAUAUGAUACUACAGUAUGAUACUACCUGUAUAAUGCAUAAUAUCAUAAACUAGUAUUAAAGAUGACCUCAUUUAUUGACAUACGUGACACAUAGGUAUCUACCUAUGUUAUUUUAACCUUUUUUUUAAAUGUCCGCCACAUCAACAUGCUUGUUAUUCCUAAAUACAUGAUACCACCUAAGUUACUCCUAUUAUGGCCAGCCUGACAUCCCUUGAGUGACUGCUCCAUGCGAUGGUGAUGGCGACGACGAUAAACUAAGCAGAUUCCACCGGCAUGGUGGCGGCCCGAGGUUGAUAAACAACUGCGGACGGUUGAUGGGUGAAUCUCUAAUGUUGUGGACGUUGGGAACAACGACGAACGGCCGAGGACGUUUGACCGAGGACAGCCAUGGCUUCGGCGACGAUGACUUGGAUAUGCUAUCUACUCCAUACUUUGAUGUGUACAUCAAGUCCAUUAUGUUGUUAUAGGUCUCGAUACGUGCAUGCUAAUGCAUGCAUCAGUCAGCACCAGUCAAGAAUCUGCCAGUUUAAUUCUUCCCGUAGCAUAUGCAAUUGCUUGAAGGUUAUGCACGUAGAUAUUUCAUUCUCACUGCAAAUAUACACUUUUUUAUCCAGAAUAUAUUCUACCUAGACAUGUGGAGAGAAUAGAACAAAUACUUUCUUUCAGUAUAUGUAAAUAUCUACAAGUUAUUUCUACA